GAAGCUUUCUGCACAACUGACUACGCCCCACCAUGGCACAUAGAGGUCUGCUCUGCCUAUUUAUGCCAUCGAUUCAGUGUGUCAGUAGCUCCCAAAGUCAAUACACGCACUUGUUUACGAUUUAGAAGAGGCAGGAUGGACAGAAUGCUACUAAUAUCAAUACAAAGAAGAGCAAAGAGCAUGUUUCAAUACAAAUACCAUUGCAGGUAAUAAGGAGCUUUACAGUCCAGUUGAAAAAAAGCAAGUAAAGUACCGUUCAAAUCAGAAGUCCUUGGGUAAUUUGACAGUAUUAAAAGUUCAUGGAAUGCAUACACAAAUACACAAAGAAAGUAACUGAGUCUAUAUUCUAUAAGCAACUGUAUAUUGCAUAUACUUAAAAAAGAAAUAUAAUCCCAAUAUAAUUGGACAAUGUGUAAUUUGUAAGUAAUGCUUGUGUCAUU